AGCAGACGGGAAAUAUACGGGAUCAGCGGCAGGUUCAGGAUCAGCAGCACCACAUUCCCGAUAUACAUCGAAAUGAUGACAGACCAGAACACAGCAGGCUGUUCAACAAACAGGCGCGGACC
rnacentral:ncRNA from 1 species